CUUUCCUAGCUCGGUCCCAGGCCACCAUGUGUUCCUCCCCACCGCCCAGAAGCACGCUGUUGGCCAGUCCCACCACAUCCUCUGAACCCAGCUAUUACUUGGAUUAUGGUCUUUCAUUGAGCUUCAGUUCUGGAUAAAGUUCGAAUCUGCUUCAGGGUUCAGUAUUGGCACAGGGCAGGGAAUGCAAAUGCCACUUUCCCACUUGCUCCUAAGGCAUCUGUAGACCUCGGCUGGGCAGGCCAGAGGUCCUGCCUAAUCAUUGGACACGGACUCUUAAUAAAACGGUCUUCAGUUCCAGAUUCCUUCCCAGCAAGCUAUAGCUUAAGUCCAUUUUCUUCUGUGAAAGGGACAGGACUCCAUCAAGUUAUGGAAUUCCUCAGAGCCCUGGGCCUGUCCCCUGGGGUGGAUUUAGUCAUGUCCAGCAGCACACGCCUAAUCCCGCCUCCGGGAAGGCUGCCUGCUUGGCUGGCCACCCGGGCCUCCUGUGUAAAGACUGCUUGGCUGUCCUGCCCAGCCUCCCUGGUCGUCUGGGGUCUUCUGGGUGGGUGGCAUCUCCCAGAGGGUGAUGACAAUCCCCCCGCACACACAUACGUGUGGUGCUGCUCCGUGUGCAAGGCCCCGUCACGAGUAUGUUUUCUCUCUUCAUCCCUCCCUCUUUUUCUGGAUCCUAACUGCUUUCCUCCUGGAUCUUAAAAUGAUGUUAGCCCAGGGAAGAUCUCAUUCAGCCUAAAGAAGAACACUCUAGUUAAUCUAGCGCUUUCCCCAGUGAGGAACAGGGGCUUUAGGGGCAAGCCUGGCUGGGCUCAAAAGCUCACGGGGUUGUCCCUCAGCAUGCCCUCUUUCUGGUGGCUUGUGAGGCUCCAGCCAGAGGCUGUCACCAGCCACAGACUACUCCUGGCCCCUGGAGUCUUCCUUCUGUUUUCAUUGUUCCCAUUGUUGCCUGUUGGGCAUUUUCCCAACUUUUUUGGCCUCUUUGCCCGAAGUCACAGAGGGGAAAGUACCUCUUGGGCUGCCUCCCUGUCCCUCCCAAGUAAUUAGAAGCAGGCUACAGGGGGAAGGGAUGCUUUUAGGAAGGCCACUGGUGAGGGGCACUCGAGGAAGAGUGGCCAUGCAGCCAGGUGACCUGUCCCAAGUGGGGUGGGACGCUGGGCUGGUGGGCGAGAAAAGGCUCUCAAACCCAGAACACUGGACCAGUCCAUAGUGAGGCCAUCAGAGCCCUCGGGGUCUGCUCUGUGCACAUCUCUGAAGGGGUGUCGCCAGUGCAAGCACCCUCUCAGUCUUCAGUCCCCUAGAAUAAUGACAGCCUCUGGGGGUGGGGCAGGCCAGGGUGGCCACAUCAUCCAAGCCCUGUGAGAGGCACUGAAUAGGAUUUUUUGCUCUAAGAAUAAAUAUCAGCCCUUUUUUGGUCAUGAAUCCAGCAUUUCAGCAGAAAACUGCCUGAUGAAAAGUCCCUUAAGGAACAGCAUCUGUGUUUCAGGGAGUUUUGUUUUGUUUUUGUUUUUCUUUGUUGUUGUUUGGGGGGGGGGGUGGUUUUUUGGGGUUUUUUGUUUUGUUUUUUUUUCCCCCCUCUUUUUAAAGUGUAGUUUGUGUGUACUUCUUCAAGGCUUAUAACAGUCUCCUGGCACCUUGGAGCCUGCCUUCUAGAGCUGGAAGCAAGUUUGAGGAGGUAUAGUUCCGUCAGCAGCUGGUGGAUGCUGGCCACCUCCUGUGCGGAAACCCUGGGACACUUCCUCGGGGCCUUGGGUUCUAGAUCCAGCCUCUCCAGGGCCCUGCAGUGAUGCUUGCGAGUUCCUAGGCUGCUCUCUGAUCCUCUGGCCAGUCUUCUUCCAGUCAAACUCAUUUGCCAAACAGACUAUUUUGGGUUGCCCUUUGGCCUGUGCCUGAUGUGUUCCCAGUGCAGCUCGGCCUGGCUGGAGCCAGGGGGCUUCAUGCCCAGAGAUUCCCACAGGACAGUUGGGAAGCUGCUGGCAUUGUCUUUCUGGGAAGAUUCUGUCGUCUUGGAACAAAUGGCAGCCUGGAUUCCCACAGUGUCGGCCUGUGUUGCCGCCCCACCCCUUCCCACACUCGUGCAUACCAGCUAUAGCCACAGGCCAGCUCGCCUGCAGGGUCUCUGCACCCUUGCUAUCCAGGGAUCCUGGCCUCCUUGCCCAUCGGGCUUUUAUCUGUCAGGGAACUCGAACUUUAGACUCGAGCCGUCACCUGUGCCCAGUGCCCCAGGAAUAGGGCAGAGAGAGCAGUGCCCACUCACUCCUCAUUGGCAGCCUCCUGUGUGUGAGCAGGGGGACAUGCCAGCUGGGCCUUGACACACCAGCCAGCCUGCGGGGCCUGAGGAGUUGCUGUAGGAUGGGCGGGUGGCCUGGGCCUCUGCUAGCGCCAAGGCUCCCCCGUCCGUUGUGUUGAGGGGCUCUGUGCCUCUGCCCUGCCCUUACCCUCAAUCCUGUCUCCUUCCCUUGAGUGGGGGCGGAGGGGGGCGCGGGGGAGGAAUCAGUGUUUUAAUCAGAUUUUACAAAAACGUUUUAAUUCUUUGUACAAUUACCAUCCUAUGUAAAGAUGAAAUUUGUGUUGAGUUCAAGAUUUUCAUGGAAUAAAGAUCACACAGUACUCGAGGCCAUCUUCAUGUAACCCUU